rnacentral:rRNA from 1 species
AUUGAACGCUGGCGGCAGGCCUAACACAUGCAAGUCGAGCGGCUCGGCGGACGGGUGAGUAAUGCCUAUGUAUCUGCCUGGUCGUGGGGGAUAACGUCAGGAAACGGGCGCUAUUACCGCAUCCUCUCAGAUGCGCCUAGGUCGGAUUUGCUAGUUGGUGGGGUAAGGGCCUACCAAGGCGACGAUCCGUAACUGGUCUGAGAGGAUGAUCAGUCACACUGGAACUGAGACACGGUCCAGACUCCUACGGGAGGCAGCAGUGGGGAAUAUUGGGCAAUGGGCGAAAGCCUGAUACAGCCAUGCCGCGUGUGUGAAGAAGGUCUUCGGAUUGUAAAGCACUUUAAGUUGGGAGGCGUUACCAAAAGAAUAAGCACCGGCUAACUCCGUGCCAGCAGCCGCGGUAAUAC